rnacentral:lncRNA from 1 species
GGCAUAUAGAAUUUCCUGGGCUAGGGGUUGAAUCAGAGCUGUAGCUGUUGGCCAACACCCCAGCCACAGCAACAGAGGACCCAAACCACAUCAGCAAGCUACACUGCAGCUUGCAGCUACACCAGAUCCUUAACCCACUGAUCGAGGCCAGGAAUCAAACACACAUCCUCUCAGACACUAUGUCAGGUUCUUAACCUGCUGAGCCACAAUGGAAAUUCCCAGGAUUAUCUUUUACAAACAUAAAUAGACAUUUCACCUCUUAAAGCUCUCCAAUGGCUUCCUAUCACACUUAAAGUUCAAACUCCUUGGCUUUCGGGCUCUACAUGACCUGGCCAUACCCACCUCUCAGAAGUCAAUUUCCCAUCAUCUUCAUUUUGCUCACUAUGCUCCAGCUGUACCAGCUUUCCUUCAGCUCCUUGAACAUUUUAAGCUAUGCUCCAUCUACCUAGGACCUUUGCACUUGUUUUCCAUCCCCAACCUCUACCCUAGAUCUUCACUGUUAACUUGUUACUCAGGGAGGAACUCAAAAUAUCACCUCCUUCAAAAGGCUUUCCUUAUCACCUGAAUUAAACUAGCUCCCCAAUCGCAAGACCUAAUUAUCUUAUACUGUAUGCUUAUCAUCUUUCCUUCCAUUAUAAUAAUAGCUCCUUGAAAGAAGAAAGUUUUUCUGUCUUUAUCAUUACUGUAGCUUGAAUUUCUGGAACAGGGUAUGCCAUGAGAAAGCUAUAAAAACUGUUGAUAGAAAGAAUGGAUGGAUGGAUGAAUACAAUAAAAGGGAACUUUGGAAUCUUAUUGUGAGAACUAUAUAGGAAACAUUUACUUUUAUGAAUGAGAAAGAUAAACUUAAUAACAGAGAAAGCAGAUUUACAAAACUUCCUGGGGGAUUUGAUAAGUUGUGAUGGACAACUGAAAACUUAAGGAAGAACUGCCUCAUGCAGAGACAAGGCCAAUAGUGUAAGUUAGCAAAGACUGAAAAGCUCAUUUACUCCCUAGAUGAUAUCCUCUCCCUGCCUUCCUCUCUGGCUGAAAUCCCUUCCAUCAGAUUAGUGACUUUGGGUGAAACAUGUGCCCAGUGGUCUCUUGAGUCCAGAAAUCAAAUCUACAACCUCCUAGUAACUUCUCAAGCUCUUGAUGCAGUUCUAUUUUCAUAUCACAUUCUCUCUCCCUUGCUCCUGACAAUACGACUUCUACUCCCCAUCAUUCUACUGAAAUUGUUCUCUCCAUAUUUUUGUUGGUUUCCUAAUUCUCAGUCAUGAUUCCCUCUGGCCUUAUCAUACCCCACUACUAACCACUCCUUUCUUGUUCUGUGACUUUCAUGGCACUGGACUUCUGGUUCUCUUUCUCCACUACUGAUGCCUUUCUCCUAUGUACUGAAUCUUUGUCCUUGACAUUCUCCAAGGUUUACAUCUUUACCCUCUAUUCUGUAUUAUACACAGGCUAACUACAGUGUGAAGUCAUCUAUUUAGACAGCUUAACACUGAAUCCAAAUCUUCUCCAGAACCAACUUUCUUUCCAGAUUUCCCUAUUUGCAACAUCAUAUUCAUUACCACACUUAAAAAAACAAACAAGAAAAACAAAAACAAACAAACAAAAAACCUUAAAAAGCAUCCUGGAUUUCUUCCUCUUCUCCUAAUCUCUCCCCCAGAAACAUUCAAUUUUCAUUUUAUUGUAUUUUUCACGUAAGUCCCUUUCUAUUAUUAUUAACAUCAAUUAAUUCUUCCAUUUCCAGUCUCUUACCUGUUCCAGUAAAUCCAGGGAACUUAAUUUUGAAAUGUGCUUUGCCUACAUGACUCUAUUGCUCAAAAACCAUUUUUGACUCCCAUUGCCUAUUCAAUAAACUCUGAACUCCUUGCUCAGGACAACACCUACCUAAAUUUUGGUCUUCAUUCCUCCACUAGCAUCACUUGCCCCUGCUCCUGACAUAAAACUUCUGCUCCUACUGAACGCUUAGCUCUCUGACUGCUCUCCUCCCUUAAUACAUCUUCCCUCCAUUUAAAGUCUGGGCAUAAUAAGGGGCAAAGGAUCUUGACUAUAAUCUAUCUUAAUGAAUUAUCAACUGCCUAAAUUUGUACUGUCCAGUAUGGUAGCCACCAGCUAGCCACAACAUGGCUCCUAAACACUGAAAAAUGGCUAUUGGGACAGAAGACCUGAAUUAUUAAUUUUAAUUUAACUAUUUAAAAAUGAAUACUCAAUUCAGUUACUGGGAAACUUUCAAACAUAUCUGCAAUAACUUGGAUAUACAAAUCUGUUUUUUUCGACUGCCAAUUUUAUAAGAUCUAAAUACGAUUGAGUAUUUGUGAUGAUAUUUUAGGGGCCCAGUUGAGAUGUGCUGUAAGUUUUCAAACACACCAGAGUUUGAAAACUUAAUUUGAAAAAAAGAAUGCAAAGCAUCUCUUAAAAUUUUUUGUUCUGAUUACGUGUUAAAAUCAUACCCUUUUGAAUAUAUUGGGUUUAAUAAAAUUAAAAUUGAUAUUAAUUUUACCUCUUGUUUUACUUUUUUGAAAUAUUGUAACCAGAAAAUUUGAAGUACACUUGUGGCUCAUAUAGUACAUCUUCUGGACCAUGUUCUUCUAGGAUCAUCUUUGUAAAAAUGUCUUCAUAGCCAUAAAGGCUUCUAAACUGAUUCCAAGGCCCAGCCUUGAUUGAAUGAAUCAUAAUUUCUAGAGAGGGUCCUGGAAUUGGUGGCUCUAAUAAAUGCCCCUGGAGAUUCUAAUCAUGAGAUAAAUUUGGGAAAUCAUCCCUAAGUGAUGGCCUCUACCUCUACCACAGCUUUUGUUAUCUUCAUCACUCACUUAGUAUAUUCCUUUAUUACACACUGUCUCUUGCUAGCAUUCUAUGUUGCACAUGUAUAUUCCCAAGUAGACAGAAAGUGCUCAGAAAAAAAUAAAUGUAGUAAUUAUAGCUAACAUGUAUCAAGUGCUAAUAAUAAGGUGCCAAGUACCCUCUCAGAGGCUCUAUGUUUAUUUUCUCAUUUAAUUUAAUAGUAGCACCUAUAGUGCAGUGAGGUGGGUUCUAGAGGAGAUAGGAAUUUAGGCCACACAGCUACUUCCUGAUGCAGCCAAGAGCUGGACCUCUUCUGUCCAACUCCAAGGCCAAUCUUCUACAUAAUAUAGCCUAGGUACCUAGUGUUGGUACUUGCUUGUAAAGGAUGUUUAAUAAAUGUGACUAAUUGUAACACUCAGUACCCCAAAAAGAAAUAUGGGGAUACUCAGUAAGUGCUAGAGGUGCCUUCUGCAUACAGGAAGCAGAAGAGGCAGGAAUGUGCUUGCUUCAUUCGUGCUCAAGUGAAGCGCCUGUCCCCUGUCAACGGAGCAACUGCUGUGAUUUACAAGGCACUGGUUUCUGAUGAAGAGCUCCCAGCCUCCAGAAUUCUGUAAUAGGAGCACCUGUUCCAGAGCCCCAGAGGGUGCAACUGGAGCUCUGUGUGAGGGGAUUGUUUGGGGGUGUGCAACAUUAGAGAAAGCUAUGCAGCACUUGUCAGUGGGCCAAGGAGCAGACCAGCUGAAGCCAUGAUGCCAAGGAACAUUCUGUCCAGGCUGUGUGGAUGUUAAGAUUCCCAGAAAGAAAAAAAGAAAUGUUGGGUUGGAAGCUGAAGCAAGAUUCACCAGGCUUGUACAAGGCAUUUAGCUUUUAGUUGUUAUAAAAAUGAAAAUAAUUGUGAAAGCAGAGAGAAAUCUGCAGCUGCUUGGGGCUAUUCAUACCAUAAGAGAUCCCACCAGGCCCUCUUUAUUGUUGCAGUUUUGGCAAAUUAUUUUCUUAUCACACACAACCUCCUCACUUCUGUUCCUGGAUAAGCACUUAGGCUCAUAAAGCUGUGGGUCAGCCACAGUUGAGCAUCCAGCCCACGGAACAGCCGGCCAUGGGGAGCUCUGGGGCCCGCCCCUCUGAAAAGCAGCAACUGGAGUCCAUAAAAAACUAGCCUGGCUGGUCCAUUAGUGGUUCUGGGUCUGGAGCUCUGGCCUGGAUCACCCGCCCCCUUCGGCAGAGCCUCACCUGCAGAGAGGGCUGAGCUGCGAGGGCCAGACCAGGGGCCACAUCCCUGGGUGCUGAGCCCCUAGUGGCUUCCAGGGCAAGGGGCAGGUGCACGAGCUGGCCCUCAGCUGCCAGGGACUGGCCGGCCACAGACAGAGGGGCCUGGUGCCCACCACACAUGUGCGUUGGACAAAUGCGCUGGCAUCUCCGGCGUGGGCAAAGAGCAUGCCGCUUCCAUUAUCCCGGCCCAUUAGGGAAGCAAUUGGAAAAAAAACAUUUAGCAAUUUGGACAGGAGUGAGACUGCAGAAUGGCUCGUUUCUCUGUGACAGCCUGCCACGUACAGAUGAAAGGGAAGGCUUAUAACAAAUUUUCAUUACCCCCAAAUAAAACAGCAACAGCAGGCAAAGCAAGGGCUUUGAGGCUGAGAGGUGGGGCCAGAAAUCCACCCAGAAGACCACAAAGGAGCCUCAGCAAAACAAAUCAAUCACUCUCUCAGUCACUUCCACUUGCCGAGCUCGGCUCAUGCAAAUGACAAUCAGGCCUGUCAGCCUGUCAGGCUUUGGCCUUGAGCUCCUUGCCUCACACUAUUCAUUAUGUGCACCAAAAUACAACCUGCUGGCUCUCCUCUUGCCCAACGCCCUUGCUCACCUGCCCUCAGUAGUCUAUGCUCGGCAGGAAAACCCACUGCCAACCUGGAAAGCAGUGAUUUGGUAAAGAGGAGAGACCAGGGGUUUACAAAUAGCACCAGAGUCGUUGCAUUUUGCUUUGCUUCCAGCUUUAGCUAACACAGGAGAGAAAUCCAACCUUAGAUUCAGAAGGGCAAAGGCCCUGAGGGCUCCCGGGUGCUCAGCUUCUUCGGUGCUCCCCCCACUCCCAAUUCAAGUUCUGCAGAGAGACUCCCAGACACCCACUAAGCACAGACCCCGAAUCAAACCCCUGCCUCUGAAUAUCCUACACAGACCUCACAGCCCACUCCUGCUCUAAUGAGCCUGGCUGCCCGCAGAGCUGUAUAAUACAUUGAGCCUUUGACCUUAUUAGAAGACAACUACACAAAUACUGCCUUUUCCUGGCCUGGGUGUCUGUCCACAGGUAUCCUCAGCACGUUUACCAUGGCAGAUAAAAAUGAAGUGUGGCGGGGGGUUGCAGGCAGGAUGUUGAAUAAGACCAGGUCUGGAACAGAGAGACUUUCCAUUCCACAAUUUCAUUAUCAACAGCUUCAAAAACACAUGUUAUUAAACAUCUGGGUUUCUGUGACAUCGAAGACUGCACAGAGAAUGGAAUAAAUGGGAUUCCAUAAAUGGGGGGUCUAAGGCUAGCUCCCCUUUGGGAUGGCUAGUGUUGACAGCUAAAGGACAGAGUCUGGUCACAGCCCCAAGAAUACCAAGGGAGGGCCCCCACUGUUACUAUUUCUAUUUGUAUGAGAUUAAAACAAACUUGUCUGCAAAUAAAUAGCAUACAUGUGAAAAGUGUAUAAAAGAUUUUUCAGUUUCCCUUAUGGGACAUUUAUUACACCAAGGAUUUGUGAUAUUUGAGGUGCAUGAAUACAGGUAACCAUUCAGAGUUCAGAGGAGGACUAUCCCUUAACAGCCAAGUGAUCAGAAAAGGAUUCACUAAGGACAAGAUAGAUUUGAUGAGCAUCUUCUAUGUGCCAAGCCCCUUAGAUAGAUUGUCUUUUUGAAUAGGUAACUGAGAGCCCACAAAUUUUUCUAAUGUGCCAAAGGCUGUGUAGUCAGAGAGGGACAGGGCCAGGAGGAAGAGUACAGACUAGGUAGGAGUGUUGGUGUGGGACAACCACGGCGCCAAGGUACAGAGAGAGAAAAUCUAGCUCUGCAGCUAAGCACCUCCUCUGCCCCAAGAGCUAUCAGAGGCACCACUAUCAUAAAACUCUGCUAUGAAUGGGUAGCAGGUUGUCACAGAAAGAGGGUAUCAUAACUGGGAUGGAGAAAAAAUAAGUUUGAGUAACAGUGGUAUGCUGGCUUGACUAAGGAACUGGCCAGAAAUUUCUUUCUCUUAUACACAAAGAUGCAGAGCUGGUGUUCAGAGGACUGAAUACUGGACUUUUCCAUAUCCUCUAGUUUUUUCAGUCCAAUAGACUAUAGUCAUGAGAUCAAGGAAUGAGAGGUCGGAUUAAAGUUAAGAAUUCUUGAAACAACCCAAGUGUCCAUUGGCAAAUGAAAAUGUGGAGUAUUGGAGUUCCCGUCAUGGCGCAGUGGUUAAUGAAUCCAACUAGGAACCAUGAGGUUGCGGGUUCAAUCCCUGGCCUUGCUCAGUGGGUUAAGGAUCUGGCGUUGCCUUGAGCUGUGGUGUAGGUCACAGACACAGCUCGGAUCUGGCGUUGCUAUGGCUCUGGCAUAGGCUGGUAGCUGCAGCUCCAAUUAGACCCCUAGUCUGGGAAACCUCCUUAUGCCUCAGGUGCAGCCCUAGAAAAGACAAAAAAUUAAAAAAUUAAAUAAAUAAAAUAAAAUAAAAUGUGGAAUAUUUAUAUAUAUUAUAGUGUUAGGCAGCCAUAAAAAAGAAAGAAAUCCUGCCAUUUACAACAACAUGGAUGAACCUCGCGGGCAUUACACUAAGUGGAACAGGUCAGACAGAGAAAAACAAAUACCAUAUGAUCUCACUUAUAAGUGGAAUCUAAAAAAAUUAAAAGAGAACUCAUGGAUACAGAGAACAGACUGGUAGUUGCUAGAGGUGGAGGCUGGGUGGAGGGGGAAGUGCCAAAUGGGUGAAGGUGGUCAAAAUGCGAAAACUUGCGGUUAUAAAAUAAGUUCUGGACAUGUAAUGUACAGUAUGGUGACUAAAGUUAACAAUACUGUGUCAUGCAUUUCAAAGCUGCUGAGAGAAUAAGCCUUAAAAGUACUCAUCAUAGAGAAAAAUAAUUAUGUGUGGUAACAGAUGUUAACUAGACUUGUGGUGAUCAAUUCACAACAUACACAAAUAUUGAAUCAUUGUGUUGCACACUUGAAACUAAUAUAAUUAUAUGUCAAUUAUAUCUCAAUUUAAAAUAAAUAAAAAUACGGAAAAAAAUAUUUUUUUUCUUUUUAGGGCCAC